GUGGGGAAUAUUGCACAAUGGGGGAAACCCUGAUGCAGCGACGCCGCGUGAGUGAAGAAGUAUUUCGGUACGUAAAGCUCUAUCAGCAAGGAAGAAAAUGACGGUACUUGACUAAGAAGCCCCGGCUAACUACGUGCCAGCAGCCGCGGUAAUACGUAGGGGGCAAGCGUUAUCCGGAUUUACUGGGUGUAAAGGGAGCGUAGACGGUAUGGUAAGUCAGAUGUGAAAGCCCGGGGCUCAACCCCGGGACUGCAUUUGAAACUAUCAGACUAGAGUGCAGGAGAGGUAAGUGGAAUUCCUAGUGUAGCGGUGAAAUGCGUAGAUAUUAGGAGGAACACCAGUGGCGAAGGCGGCUUACUGGACUGUAACUGACGUUGAGGCUCGAAAGCGUGGGGAGCAAACUGGAUUAGAAACCCCUGUAGUCC
rnacentral:rRNA from 1 species